rnacentral:rRNA from 1 species
AUCAGCCGCCAUAUCACCCUGUAGCCCAAGACUGGUUGCCCACUGAAGCUAAGCAGGGCUGAGCCUGGUCAGUACCUGGAUGGGAGACCUCCCGGGAAAACUAGGUUGCUGCUGGAU